rnacentral:lncRNA from 1 species
CAAGCAAAGGACGGCAGCAGCAUCUCCUCGUGUAACCGGGCCUGGCCUCAGUCCUCUCCACUGUCCUGUCUCAGCCUCCCAAGUGCUGGGAUCACAGACAGCUGCCACUGCUCUCAGCCCUAACCUGACUAUGGUAAUGGUUCCUCCUGCCCAGGGCCUGGGUGCCUGCCUCCCAGCUCCAGCCAGCUUCCACACUAUUCCAAAUUAUUUGCCUAAGGACAUCUGAGGGGAACCUGAACCCCUCAGCAGGACAGUUAAGGCUGUUAUCUCUUCCUAUUUCUGGCUCAGUUCUGUGGCAAAGCCCAAGAGUUCCCCCCUACCAUGCAGCUCCCUGGGUCCCCACACCCUUUUAGUUCACAGUAUCCUUUCAUCCAAGAGCCCAGAUAGAGGCAGAAUGCUCCAAGCUCCCUUGCUGGAGUGCAGCGCUGGUACCACCUCCUCCAGGAAGCCUCCUAGUUUGUGAAGUGACUACCUCUUGAAUGCCUAGCACCCAGUACUGUGAAGCACUUAGAGGCUUGAUCCCCUGAGGCAAGGGUGCAUACAGCUGUCACUACCCAUCCCACCCCUUCUCCCCAGUGACCUCCUCCAUCCUCACCCCAGGGAUUGUCUUCAGGCCUCCUUCAUGGGAGAAAUCUGAGACCCAGAGGGGGAAAUGAGUCAUGGCCUCCAGAGGCCUAAGCAAAGGGCUGUGUGUGUGUGGGGGGGGGUGCAGAUUGAUUCAGGCUGCCCCUCCCCCCAUCACUCUGACUGACUCAGGCACCCCCUUCUACACCCCCACCCCCAUUCUACAGGCCUUGGCUGGUCCUUCUCCCAAGCGUCAAUCAGCACCGGAACUGUGGAAAGCCAACCCUGCAGGGCAAUGGUGGCCUCUCAAUAUUGAAUCCAGGACCUGGCAACAGCCAGGUGUGCUUAAGCUCAUCUUUAAAAAUUAUCAUGCCGUUAACAAAUGUAUCUCUUUUGUAAACUUAUAAGCUACAGGAAACCCACU